rnacentral:rRNA from 1 species
UACGUAGGGGGCUAGCGUUGUCCGGAAUCAUUGGGCGUAAAGAGCGUGUAGGCGGCUCGAUAAGUCUGCUGUGAAAGUCCAGGGCUCAACCCUGGAAGGCCGGUGGAAACUGUCGGGCUAGAGUCCGGAAGAGGCGACGUGGAAUUCCCGGUCGGUAGCGGUGAAAUGCGCAGAUAUCGGGAGGAACACCAAUGGCGAAGGCAGCUCGCUGGGACGGUACUGACGCUGAGACGCGAAAGCGUGGGGAGCAAACAGGG